AGUGAACGCUGGCGGUAGGCCUAACACAUGCAAGUCGAACGGCAGCACAGUAAGAGCUUGCUCUUACGGGUGGCGAGUGGCGGACGGGUGAGGAAUACAUCGGAAUCUACUUUUUCGUGGGGGAUAACGUAGGGAAACUUACGCUAAUACCGCAUACGACCUACGGGUGAAAGCAGGGGAUCUUCGGACCUUGCGCGAUUGAAUGAGCCGAUGUCGGAUUUGCUAGUUGGCGGGGUAAAGGCCCACCAAGGCGACGAUCCGUAGCUGGUCUGAGAGGAUGAUCAGCCACACUGGAACUGAGACACGGUCCAGACUCCUACGGGAGGCAGCAGUGGGGAAUAUUGGACAAUGGGCGCAAGCCUGAUCCAGCCAUACCGCGUGGGCGAAGAAGGCCUUCGGGUUGUAAAGCCCUUUUGUUGGGAAAGAAAAGCAGCAGGUUAAUACCCCGCUGUUCUGACGGUACCCAAAGAAUAAGCACCGGCUAACUUCGUG
rnacentral:rRNA from 1 species